AACUUCUUGAGAGUCAUCCUUUUGAACCGACGGAGUAUGUAAAUAUAGGUACAGUAAAGAGAAGAAAAAGGAAAUAUGAGCAUUAUGAUAAAAGAAAAAAAUGAGAAGAAUAAGUGAGGUAGGAGAGGGAUCUAAAGUAAAUACAUAUUGACUUUGUCAAAAGAAUGAAAACAACGAGGUUUAUUGUUGGCAAUUUAUCCCCACUUUCCUGAUCCGUGAUUCCGUGACUCGUGAGUGAAUUGUCGUUACUCGUUAGUCGUUACACAAACACCGAAAUUGCUGUUGGUGCUCCUCCGCCCAGAUCGCGCGUCGCCACCGUAAUUCAACUGAACCGAAAAUAUUCUUUUUUGUCAGUGUCCAAUUUCAAUGUGUACUAGGGUGUGUAAUGCAAUUGAAACCAAAGACUGCUCUAUCUUCCAGAGGUUAAUUACGAUAAGAAUUUCGGGUCAAGUACUGCACGUUGGAGGCCGUAUCGAAAGUCUUCAUCUGGGGAACAGAUUGUUGGGGAACAGCGAUCGACCAAACAAUUGGCCGCGAUCGACUAGUAGAUCGCCAUCGACUGUUUGGCCGCCUUUGCCCUAAUACUACUGAUCCAUAGUGAGAAGCGUGGAGAUGAGUGCAACAAGGUGCUGCAGUGCAGUGUCUUUGUUUUGUUCGUCUCAGUGGUAUUCUGGGAGCAAUAGGAGAACAUUCCUCAACACUGCUUGGAUGACAAUAUGACUCUAGUGGUUGAUAAAAGUGUGUAACUAUUAUGACAAUGCGACGGCUUCAGUUCUGAAUAUUUGUAUUUUUUAAGUUUUUUUUUAUUUAUAACUUUUUAUAUUUUAAGGAAUUGUAGUAAUUGAUGAAAUUAUAGGUCGAUAUAUUUUGAAGACUAAAGAAAAAUGAUUAAAAUCUGUCUUUUCAUUCCCUAAGGCGCAGUUUCUAUAAGAGAUUUUAUCACCUGAAGGCCGCUGUUAAGACAUUCAUGAAAUGAUCGUCUGAAUGAAGGCUGGUGAGCUUAGUUAGAAAGGAUUGCGGUACUUCAGUAAUUAUGCAACGAAAGACAUCUCUUGAUAAGAAACGAACAGUUUCUUAGUGGUUCUC